AUGAAUCCAGCUUGUGUCAAAUUGGCAAAUGCUACCCAGAACAGCACCCUAAUCCUGCAGAGUUGGGUUGCUUAUUCUCAGCCGCAUCCCUGAGCAUCCCUGCUUUUAUUUCUUAUCAUUGCCUGAUUCUAUGUUCAAAAUGCCUCCAAAGUGCCAACCUGGGACUGUGCAGGUGCCACAAACUCCUCAUAGUUUGAUCUCUGUGCCUAUCAAUUUUUGCAAUGCUGGAAUGGGAGCCAAGUCGAGAACACAUUAGUCUAGCAUUCUACCUGAGCACUGAGCUAGACCCAUAGCACUUACCAUUUUUAUUUAAGGGAAGGAUUCUUGGAACAGUAGAAUAGAAAUCUCUACUGGUACUCCCACCACAUGCAUGGUGUCUUCUCCUAUGACUUUUGCCCAUUUUAUGUGAAACAAAGACCACAGCCUAGGCUUUAUUCAGGAAGGAAAGCAGAAACCAAAAGCCUUCCCCAGGAUGGAGAAUUCUCAGGAGGAAGAGCACACAGGUGUGGGUCCAGCCCAUCAGGGAGUAGGUUUGUUCACAUACAGAGUUGGCCGGAACCAGCCACCCACUGCUCUUGGCUUUCAAAGGGAACAGUGUGUGCCUGGCAUCCAGAUGCCCCCUGUGAACAGCGAAGAGGCACUGAUGGAUGGCUGUGCCACAAUGAGAAAUGGAUCAAUGUAUCAUCUCACCCAGUAUUGGCAUUCUCACUGAGAAAGGAGGCACAGCAGAGGUCUUACGCAUGGAUUCCAGCUUUGCCUGUUGGGAGGACCUUCCCUCAUAGAUAAUAGGAUUGCAGCCUCACCUCUCUUGGAGUCCCUUCCUAUCAUAGCAUGUGGAUGGGGGUGGUGUGGGCAUCUUCCCCAGAAGGCCUCAGUUGAGAUCAAAGAGACCUUGCGUAUCCAUUUGAGCCUACUGCUGUGGCAACGACUUGCUGGGAUUCACGUAGUAAUGUGUGAGGCUCUGACAGCACUGAGAUCUGCCUUUAUAGUCUUUAGGUUUGUUUUCCUGAAUGAAUAGGUUGACCAGUGCCCAAAAGCAGAGCUCAUGCAACAUUCCACUGCUGCUGGGUUCAGCUCAAAGCAGACCCCACACCACUGGCUAAUGGAAGACUGUGCUGCAGAGGUGGUAGAGAGCCCUGCCUAGAAAGACUGAAGUCUUGAGAGUUCCUAUUGUUCUUGGGGUUCUCAGAAGAACCAAAUGCCCCUGAACUCACCUUGGCUCCUGUUUCCAAGUCUCACUGGAACCCAGGAACUCAGGUCCCUCAAGCCUGUAGCACUAACUGUGCCUGUCUGCAUCCCUACUUGCGAUACUCUUCUGCCUGCAGGUCCAUUCACUCACUACCACAAAUACCCACAUCCUGAACAUAGCCGGUGAACCUUGUCUUGCUUUCUGCCUGUGGGUGGAGCUGGCUUCCCACAGCUGCCUCCAUCAGUCAGCUCAGCACGGACAGCCAGCGGGUGCUCCUCUAAUCAGAGCCACAAAACUUCUCCCUCUUACUUGGCUUCCCAUGACAUGCAGCUCACCAGAAGCUGGGUUACAUGUGUCUAGUGGCUAUACCUCCCCCAACCUCCAUCUCACCCCAUCGGUCCAUCUGCUUUAUGUCAAGUACUAUGCUGGCAGUGGGAUGAAGGGAGGCUGGAGUCAUUGGAAGCAUCCUCCUGGAGCCACGUCUUGUGGACAACAGACCUGGGAUCAGCAAAUGGAGAAUGCCUUCUUUCCAGCCAUAUAAAGGAUACACUUCAGAGAAGGGCCUUACAGAAGGGCUUUCUUGUUUAUCUUUCAGGGCCUGUGACAGGGUACCCUCACACAGCUGCUGGCCUAACUAGACCUACUGGGGAACAGAAAGUAGAGUUUCUCAGUAGCAGGGGUAGCUUUUGAGUUAGGCUGCGCCAUGCACAUGAGGCCUAGAAAGACACCGUAGAGCACAGGGAUCCCAUUGGAGCUUUCGGUGAGGACCAUGACAAUGACAAAGGAUUCCGAGCUUGAAGGAUGUAAAAUUCAAGAAUCUAUGCAGGAUCUAACUGGAAGAAGCAUCUUUUAGUCCCAUCUGCACCUUCUGGGAGUGCUGCCUCCCCGGCUGCAUGGGGUCCUUGGCCAUGCUGGUCACUCUGGUAGGCUUGCCCAUUCUUUCUACCAUGUCCUAGGGACCUCCUAUUCUGUCUCUGUGCAUAGAUGUGCAGAAGGUCCCUGGGACUUGAACAAACUUCCCCUUCAUCAGCUAGUUACCUUCCCAGAGCUCCAUCUCUCAUACCAUAACGAGACAGAAACAUGAGUUCCUGAGGUACACAGACCGAACAUUAUGUCUCCCCUGCCUCUCACCAGCAAUAGUUGUCCCUGACUCCUCUCCUGAGUUCUUCACCAUGGUUCUUCCUUCUAGGUGACCCAAGAGCUGGUAUUGAAUAAGGCUCAUUUUAUUAGGGACCAACACCACCAACCAAAAACCAUAUCGCACCAGAGAAGGGAGUAUGACGUCACAUGGUAAGUGGCUACGAGUGAUGCCUCUGAGAAUGGCAGGCUUCACAGUGGGGGAGAUAAAGGGAGGUAUUUUGCUUAGGGGAUGCAAGCAGUGGGGCUAUAGAAUGUGAAAUAUUAGUAUUUUUUGUUGUUGCUGUUGUCCUUGUAUAAUUGAUCUUUUAUACCCAAUGUGAUGAGACUGGAUAGACUUUACUUUGUGGCCAGUUAGCCCAUUGACGUGGUACAAAGAUGGUUUUGAGCCACGUGUCUGCAGUCAUUCUGGUUGGUGAGAUACCUGAUGUUAGAGUAGUAGGUCAGAUUCAAAGCCCAAGUAGUACAGUGUUAUCAUGACUGAUGGGAAUGUGUUUUGCAUAGACCCUUGGCAAAUGCUGCCAUGCAGGAUAAGCUUCUCCAUUGUCGGAGGUGAUUAGUCAUGGCUUCACUGUAGCGCAUGUUUAUCUCUCUGUAUGCUGAUUUGGACAAUGGUGGCGUCAGUGUCCCUGCAUGUCUCCAGCUUCUCUAACUGCUGUGGUUUCAGGUUGACCACACAUUUGGUAUGCAGAUGUACAUGAGUAGCCUCUGCCACUGCUUGCACACCUUUGACUGGGCAGGAGAAGACCAUGAGCUCAGGUCUCCUGUCUGCAUCCAGCCCCACACCUGAGCAGCCCUAGGAUGUGAUCUUGCACAGAGGAAGCCAGGUUUAACACAUCACAGGAAGAUGACUGGAGUUCAAGUGGUCCUCUAGUCCUUUGAUGCUGCCUGGCCAAGGCUGUGCCCGGUCUGUGCCUUCUUUUUUCCCAUCAUGAGGGUCAUCCCUGCUCUCACCUGACACCACACCAUACACUCGCUGUAUCCCCUGUAUCUGGCCUCCUUGUAGACUCCUGCCCAACGGUUGAUUCAGCACUGGCCUUUGCUCCCAGGUGAGCAGCCCAUGCUAGUGCCCAAGUCUGAGCUGAUUUCAUUGAGCCUAUGGGGUGCCAGUGUAUGGUGGUUCUGGUCUUGGCACUUUGGGUGUGUGUGUAUGUGCCAUUGAUGGGUUGGUGAGAAGCCUUCCAUCGAUUGGCAGAGGGAGACCAAUAGGAUUCUACUCCUAACAUCACUGUCUUUCUGUGUGAGCACUGGGUCACAAGUGCUGGUGGUGCCAUGUAUCUGAGAGAUGAAGCCAGGCAGCAGUGAACAAGUGUGUCCACAGGAAGAUGAUAGAUCCAAGUGCAGUGCCAUGAGCUGGUGUGGCUUGCAGGCUAUAGAAAUCAACAAAUGCCACAUCCAUCAAGUGACUCUAUAGUAGUCAUCAUGUGAGGGUUCUUUAUAACAAACUUCAUGUGGAAGGCUUCAUUAUCCCCACCUUACAGAUGGGAAUACCGAGGCUCAGUGAUGUACUCAGUGUCACAAAAGCAUUAGCAGCAAUCAGGACUCACACAUUCUCUUUUGGCUCACUUAUGCGCUCUUCCUACUUUAUUUCUGUUUGACCCACAGAGACAAAAAUGGGCAGUCUUCAUAAGCAGCAGCAGUUCAUGCUAAUCAUGAAUGCCAACUUGACAUGCUUGGGAAGAGGGACCCUCGCUUAAUGAUUGCCUCUGUCAGAUUGGUUCAUGAGUGUGUCUGUGGGGCAUUUUCUUGAUUGUUGAUUGACACAGGACCAUCCAGCUUACCCUGGGUGUCACCCCUAGGCAGGUGAGCCUAGAAGCAAGCCAGUAAGCAGUGUUUCUCUAUGGUUUUGGCUCCACGUUCUUGCCUUAUGCAGACCAGGAAGCAUGAAAGAGCUUGCUUUUACAGCAAAGCUCUUCCUUGCCCCAAAUCUAACCUAUUUUCCCUCAGUUGAGCUCAGAGCCCUCAGGAUCCAGUCACCUCCCCAAAGCCCCACCUGUGCCCCCUGAUGAACUGGGAAUCCAGCCUAUAACAGGGGAGUUCUUAGAGGACAAACAUUUCAGAGCCAAAUCCUAAGAGAAGCCCCAGAGAAUUGUGGGAACUCAUGGGAUUCUGUCUGGGAACAUAACAAAAUGGCCUCCGAUGCUGAGAAAUCUUGAAGCCUCAUUCGUUGGGAUAUGCAUUCCAUGGCAGAGAAACUUGCCACUUCUUCCUCUCUGGAGAAAUAGCGUUUUGGUACUCUGGAGCUGGUGUUUGAAGCCCCACCUUCCAAGUGGGAGGAGCAACUGGGUAGGUGGAGGAAGGGUAGGAGCACUAGCUAGGGUACAACAAGGGUAGCAGCAGGUGAGGAAGAGCUGGUUUGUUUUUCCCAAAGACUUCUCUCUGACUCUGCCAUGGGAAGACAAGGGUGGGCUUUGUGACAUCCAAGGUCAUUGUGGGGAUGGUUAUGAUCACCCUGACAGCAUUUGAGCACCUACCCAACUCUAGGGAUUUGAAAGUAUCUUCAGUGGCCUGUUGUCUACCCCACAGCAGUGAGAGGCUGGCCUAAGCCUGCUCUCUGCUUCCACCUAGUAUCAAGUAGUCCAUCAAUGGGGCAGUGAGUUUUAUAGGUCUUUACUAUAAGCCUCCUCUCUGGUAAAUACAAAACUCAAGGAAAACAACAAGUGUUUGGACUUUGCUGAGGACACAGUUAAUAUUUGCAUCAGAGGACCAUCAACACAUGGAAAAGGUGCUAAUCCAGGCAGUCCACCUGAGUACAGAGGAGGAGGAGCGCUGAAUGACUGAAAACUGCCUCUUCUUACUACAAGCAGAAUGUCCUUCCUUGACUGCGUUCUUCCGCCUGGGCAGGAUGCCUGUCUUGAAGAGUCCUUUAAUUUAUCAGUGAAGGUUCUAUUCUUGGAGCUUUAUUUCAGAUGAAGACUUGCUGCCUUAGCCAUCUCUGUGGAAAUGGGGCCAAGAAGACCUGUGGACAGGGUCUCAGAACUGUUGACAUUUCUUUCUCACUGGACCAAGGACUCUACCGACACCAAGUACCAGAUGCAGAACUGAAGCCCUAGGCUGUACCUGUAGGUCAUGGAGGAGCACCUGCUCGAACUGUUCACUAAGAGUCAACAAAGAUGAGAGCCAUCUAGAACAUUCCUCACAAGGUCUGAGGGAAUAGUUGAGGCCAUCUGGCAUGUGUCCUUGCUCAUGAAGAUAUAUGAGAAUGACAGAGGCCAGGCCUGAGGAAGAUGGUGGAUGCUAGAGAGAGUGGACAGCAACUGGAUGGAAAGUGGAAGACUGAUGUGCAACCCUGAGUCCUAAUCAGCUGGCUCAGAGCCCCUGUGAGCAGACAUUGUGCUAUAAAGAACCCUAAUGUAAGCAGACACUUUGUAGGGCUCUAAUAUGCUAUCCUGUGUUCCCUAUAAGUAUACACUAUACAGAAGCCUAGUAUCCCACCCUGGGAUCCCCAAAGAGUAUUCAGUGUACAUAAUCCUGAAACCUGAAUCAGACAAAGCUGUUUAUUUAUGACAUCAUACUGAGACUGAGGCAAAACCACUUCUGGGAUCAUUCCUGGACAUUACAAAGAUAAGUCCACAGCAGCCACAGAUGCCACUUCCCUGGCUCAUUUGAUGACUAGAAGAGCUGCUGCUUUCCUCAGGCUUCCUGUCAGAGACUCCUAUCCAGUUGAACACCCUUUCAGGGUCCCAGCGGGCCUUUGUCUUAGUUAUAGUUUCUAUUGCUGACCAUGAACAAAAGCAACUUGGGGAGGAAAGAAUCUAUUUCAUUCUAUAGCCAUAUAUAGUCCAUCAUCUAGGGAAAUGAGGGUAGGAGCUCAAGACUGGCACUGAUGCAUAGACCAUGGAAGACUGCCUGCUCACUUAUAACGUGAUCACCCUGCUCUUCUACACCACCGAUGACCACCCAUCAAAGGGUGUCACCACCUAUGGUGAGCUGGACCUAAUCAUCAACCAUCAGUCAAGAAAAAGCACCAUAGGCUUGUUCGUAGGCUAAUCUUGUUAGGAGCAUUUUCUCAAUUUAGAUUCCCUCCUCCAAAAUGGCUGUAGCUUGUGUCGAGUUGACAGAGAACUAGCCAGCACAGACUUAGUAGCAUCUAUAUUCCUACUUCCCUACCAAAAACCUACCUCAGCUCCCUGUCCUGUGUCUGUCUCAUAUUAAAUUCAUUAAGUCCCAGAAUUUUCUUGAGUGUGCCCUGGGUGGUCACAGGCAGAAGGGUAUCCUCUACAUCCUGAGUUGGGACAUCACUGCAAGGCUUGGGGCAGCUAGCAAGCAGGGGCAUGCACAGGGGCUGUGAGGACUGACAAUUCAGCAGGGUAGAUGGGGAGAAUGCAGCUGCCUUUGUGGGAACUAUCUGGCCCAAACAAUAAUUUCCACAGUAACCAGGAAUGUAGAUGGGUACUAAACCCCAGGCCAUGAAGCAUGUUUUAUUCCUAGAUACCCCCAAAAGAAACUGAAUCCCAUCCCACAUGGCUUCAAUGGAGCCCUCUCUUCUGCCUUCAAAGGUAGGAAUUGAAAAGAGAAUACUGAAGUAAAUGCUUCCCUGUUUAGCCAGCCCUGGGUGAGCAUGCGGUACACAAGCUGGAGCUAUCACAG
rnacentral:sRNA from 1 species